UACGGAGGGUGCGAGCGUUAUCCGGAUUUACUGGGUUUAAAGGGUGUGUAGGCGGACUGUUAAGUCAGUGGUGAAAUCCCGGGGCUCAACCCCGGAACUGCCAUUGAUACUAUCAGUCUUGAAUACUGUGGAGGUGAGCGGAAUGUGUCAUGUAGCGGUGAAAUGCAUAGAGAUGACACAGAACACCGAUUGCGAAGGCAGCUCACUACGCAGUGAUUGACGCUGAGGCACGAAAGCGUGGGGAUCAAACAGG
rnacentral:rRNA from 1 species